UUUGUUGUAAGAACUGCCAGGGACGAAACAAUAAAGACCGGAAGCUGAGUUUUUAUCCAUUUCCUCUACAUGACAAAGAAAGACUGGAAAAAUGGUUAAAGAAUAUGAAGCAAGAUUCACGGGUUCCCAGGAAAAGACCCUUCUAAAAAAAUAUCCCAGAAGAAAAACUUGGAAGAUGAGAAAGAAGUAUGCCCAAAGGCCAAGUCAGAAGAAUCAGUUGUAUUAAAUGAGACAAAGAAAAAUAUAGUUAACACAAAUGUGCCCCCUCAACAUCCAGAAUUACUUACUUCAUUCAUCUUCCUUGGUUAAGCCACCAGCUCCUAAAACAGGAAGUAUACAAAAUUACAUGUUAACUCUUAAUCUAGUUAAACAACAUACUGGGAAACCAGAAUCUACCUUGGAAACAUCAGUUAACCAAGAUACAGGUAUAGAUGGUUUUCACACGUUUUGGGAAUCUAAAUUCUACAACUAUUACUUUGACAACUCCAAAUUCAGAAAGUAUUCAUCAAUCUUUGGAAACCCAAGAAGUUCUUGAAGUAACUUCUAGUCAUCUUGCUAAUCCAAAUUUUACAAGUAAUUCCAUGGAAAUAAAGUCAGCACAGGAAAAUCCAUUCUUAUUCAGCACAAUUAAUCAAACAGUUGAAGAAUUAAACACAAAGAAUCUGUUAUUGCCAUUUUUGUACCUGCCGAAAAUUCUAAACCUUCAGUUAAUUCUUCUAUAUCUGCACAGAAAGAAACUACGGAAAUGGAAGACAUAGACAUCGAAGACUCUUUGUAUAAGGAUGUAGACUAUGGGACAGAAGUUUUACAAAUUGAACAUUCUUACUGCAGACAAGAUAUAAAUAGGGAACAUCUUUGGCAGAAAGUCUCUAAGCUACAUUCAAAGAUAACUCUUCUAGAGUUAAAAGAGCAACAAACUAGGUAGAUUGAAGUCUUUGGAAGCUCUUAUAAGGCAGCUAAAGAAGGACAACUGGCUAUCUGAAGAAAAUGUCAAGAUUAUAGAAAACCGUUUUACAACAUAUGAAGUCACUAUGAUAUAGAAUAACUAGGUUUUAAAACUAUGGCUGUUAAAUAAGCUUUUUCCAGCCAAACCAAACUACAUGUAAAGUGAACUUUUUCCCUUAUAAAGUUCUCAUCUUAAUGAACCUAUGAGAGUGUUGUGAAGCUAUGAACUGUAUCCUAUUCUUGUAAUGCUCAUUUAAGAAAGACCAGAGUGUUGGGCUGGAGAGAAAAGCAGUUUUAUUAUUGAUAAUUUUCCAAAUUAAAAUUUAGCACAUAAAAGGAUUCAGUUAUAACAUGAGAAAACAAAGAAGUGUUCAAAGAGCACAGACUAGAAGUCAGGUUCAGGAAUCAGUCCUGGUUCUACUGCUGGCAUAUGACUUGGGCAAGUUACUUAUGAUUGUGCCUCAGUCCCUAAUUUGUAAAAUAAGCACUUACUAGAUUUCUAAUUGUCUACUUCUUUAUAGUUCCUUCCCUUUUUUAUUAAGAUAUUUCUAUUAGAACACAUUUUCUGUAAGAUAAUAUCUACUUAAUACUAGAAGUUGGCCAGAAUUUGAUGAUAUUAACUAUGUAUUAUUUUCAAUAUUUAUUGAAUUCUGUGGUGUUUGACCUUUUGGCUGUAGUUACAUAUUACAGUUAUAUUAUCUGUAAUAGAAAGGAAGAUAAACCUUUGUUUUUUGUUUUUUGUGUUUUUUUUUUUGAGAUGGAGUCUGGCUGUGUAACCCAGGCUGGAGUGCAGUGGCCUGAUCUCGGCUCACUGCAGCCUCUGCCUCCCAGGUUCAAGUGAUUCUCCUGCUUCAGCCUCCCGAGUAGCGGGGAUUACAGGCGCACACCAUCACAUCCAGCUUAUUUUUGUAUUUUCAGUAGAAACGGCGUUUCACCAUGUUGGCCAGGCUGGUCUCAAACUCCUGACCCCAGGUGAUCCACCUGCCUCGGCCUUCCAAAGUGCCGGGAUUACAGGCGUGAGCCACCGCGCCUGGCCAAGAUAGAACUUUUAUAAUUUUAUUCCAGUUGAACUAAACUAAGGAACCACCCCAUUAGCCCAGUUCUUAGGAGAGGUACUUCAAACUUGAAAGAAUAUGUAUUUCGGUAACUUAUAUGUGGCUAACCAUCAAAUACAUAGUCAUCUAAGCUAAACGUUCUGUAUUUAUACAGUUAUAUUUAUAAACCAAAAAUUUUAAUGAGGUUAAUUUUAAAUAUAUUUUAGAAAUCACAGUUUGUAUGUUUCUUAGUAGGUGUGGCCUUUAAAAUAUGUGCUUAUUCAUUGUUAAAUUCCAGAAUAAUAGAGUAAUACUUAAUACUGUACAUUCCCACUUAUGUAUAUUUUAUUAAAAUUUAUAAGCAAGAAAUUAUACAUAAGUGCUCAUGAUCUUAGACAAAUAAUUUCUCCUAGGAAAGAGAAGUGAUGGUAAUGUAAAUAAAAAUACUGUUUAUAUUCACAUGAUUUUAAGAAAACUGUAAAAGCAAAGAGUUUAGUAAUGACACCAAUGUGACAAAUAGAUGUUUUCUUAAAAUUGGCAGUCAAUAUAAUUAUGUUUCUGCCUAUAAUGUUGAGGAAGUUCUAUCAGUCUGAUUCUUAGUUUUCUCAUCUGUUAAGUAGAACAUACUAUUACUUACCUUAAAGAGUGGCUUUGAGAAUUUUGUAAGGAACAAACAUGUUUUUGGUUCUGGAAUAUAGGAGGUGCUCAAUAAAAGUUGACUCUGGCAAAAAAAAAGA